rnacentral:lncRNA from 1 species
UAAAAACCUAGGGACUCUAAGGAGCUAACGAUCGGCCGCUGGAACCAAACGACAAACCCCAUUGAAGUCCAUCGACUUUUUCAUUCCAACAGCAGUUAUCUCCAUCAACCUUGCACCGAAAAUUCCUCAAUCUCGCCGGAAAUUCGACCACCGUUAACAUACGCACACACUCACGUUUCUCGGACGAAAAAUAAGAAAAAUGCACACACAAGAAUUCUGCUUCCUUUUAAUUUCGAUUUUGGUGUUCCAAAAAUGGAGAUUAAAUUGAGGUUUGAAGUCCGGUUUUGAGGUCAUCACUGUCCAUCGAGGUCCGAUGCGUCGAUGUCAUAUGGCAAGGAAGAAAAUCGAUCUUAGAUCUGCUUUGCCCAAGUAACUCUCAUUUUUUUACUAUUCCUAUACUGUGUUAAUGAUCUCCUUACUGUCUAAUUGUAAUGUAAAUUUUCGUUAAUUAGUUUCUGUAUUGGUUUUUGCAAAUGGAGUUCGAUCUGUGCGUCUUUUCUUUUUCUUGUUGUAUGACUAGUUAACCUCGAAUCUGCUGUCCCGUGCUUCCUCUUCUAUUCGUUACUACGUUCUUAUUCGCUAUUUUGUGUAAAUCCGACCGUUAAAAGUUGACUUAUUUCAUAGUUUUUUAUGAUUGACUUAUUCGUAUCUAGGUGUCGAUUUCGAUCCGCAUUUUUCUGCCUAUUCUUGUAUUGAGUUGCAUCACAAUGCAUUCUCGUAUUUAACUUCACGGAUGUUAUGGAGAAUCUGAU